rnacentral:rRNA from 1 species
GACGAACGCUGGCGGCGUGCUUAACACAUGCAAGUCGAACGGAAAGGCCCUGCUUUUGUGGGGUGACCGAGUGGCGAACGGGUGAGUAACACGUGAGUAACCUGCCCUUGUUUUUGGGAUAACUUCAGGUAACUGGGGUUACUACCGGACAGGAGCCCCCGUAGCGUGGAGGGGGUUGGAAAGUCUCGGCGGGUGGGGAUGGACUCGCGGCUAACCAGCUUGUUGGUGGGGUAGUGGCUUACCAAGGCUUUGACGGGUAGCCGGCCUGGGAGGGUGACCGGCCACAUGGGGACUGAGAUAGGGCCCAGACGCCUACAGGGGGCAACAGUGGGGAGUAUUGCACAAUGGUCGGGAGCCGGAUGCGGCAGCGCCGCGGUCGGGAAGACGGCUUGCGGGGUGAAAACCGCUUUCGCCUGUGACGAAGCGGGAGUGACGGUAAUGGGUAAAGAAGCACCGGCUAACUACGUG